ensembl:lncRNA
CACACAUUCACUACUCCUUUACAGCCCCACACCUCUAGGCAGAGGCUGUAGUACAGUCACACAUUCACUACUCCUUUACAGCUCCACACCUCUAGGCAGAGGCUGUAGUACAGUCACAUAGACUUCACUACUUCUUUAAAAGCUCUACAAUAGGCUGAAUUAUUAUUUUGAUGAUGUUCUAUCUAUUCACAAUGAACUUUGGAACAACCUUGAUAAAGAUUGGAAUCUCAUGAUGGGUGACCUCCAAACACUAGAUGCAACCAAAACCAAUAAUGAAAAUAGAAUAAUGCCUAAACAUGAACUGCUAUUGACAAAAAUAGGUGAGACAGUGCAUCUGCACCAUAGAGAUAGAGCACUAUUUUUUGUAUCUGUGCCAUUAUGGCGUCUGUGACAGCAUGGGCAGCGUCAUUGAGGCUAUCUCCAUUUUGAAGACAUACAUUUUCUUCUUCACGAUUGGCUGAUCCCUCCUGAUGACCCGGUUGGACAUGAGUCCUACAGAGUCACCAACAGGGAUCAGUCAAUGAAGUUGGAAGUCCAACUAGUUGACUACAUUAAAAUGGUGGAAGCCCUAAAUUGGGAUGGCCAUGCUAACACAGCCUUUUGGCCACUAGAGGCCUCUCUCAUUCUCUAUGGUCUGUAGGACCCAUUGGACACCAUAUUCAGGGUUGAAGAAUAAUGUAAUCAGAUUUUUUUUUAAACAGUAACUGUAAUCAGUUACAUUACCAGCAAACAUAUUGUAAUCAGAUUAUCGCUACUUUUGAAAAACUAGAUGAUUACUUCUUGGAUUACUUUUAAAUUCUGAAAGGAUGUUUUCUAAAUUCAAUUCAGCAUUGAAAAGAAGCGCAAGUUUAAGUUUGUUCCACCUCAGCGAAUCUGACUACAAAUCAGGGACCACUAUGAUAACGUACCAAAUGUGUUUCAUGGAUCAUUUUUAUCUUCUAAUUAAUACCUCUUAAAGGGAAGGUCAUCUGAAUGUAAUCAGAUUACAUUACUGAGUUUGGGUAAUCCAAAAUUGACAUUACUGAUUGCAAUUUUUGACUGGUAACUAGAAACUGUAACGGAUUACAUUUAGAAAGUAACCUAGCCAGGGCGACAGGGUAGCCUAGUGGUUAGAGUGUAGAGGCGGC